rnacentral:rRNA from 1 species
GAGUUUGAUCCUGGCUCAGAUUGAACGCUGGCGGCAGGCCUAACACAUGCAAGUCGAGCGGAUGACGGGAGCUUGCUCCUUGAUUCAGCGGCGGACGGGUGAGUAAUGCCUGGGAAUCUGCCUGGUAGUGGGGGACAACGUUUCGAAAGGAACGCUAAUACCGCAUACGUCCUACGGGAGAAAGCAGGGGACCUUCGGGCCUUGCGCUAUCAGAUGAGCCUAGGUCGGAUUAGCUAGUUGGUGGGGUAAUGGCUCACCAAGGCGACGAUCCGUAACUGGUCUGAGAGGAUGAUCAGUCACACUGGAACUGAGACACGGUCCAGACUCCUACGGGAGGCAGCAGUGGGGAAUAUUGGACAAUGGGCGAAAGCCUGAUCCAGCCAUGCCGCGUGUGUGAAGAAGGUCUUCGGAUUGUAAAGCACUUUAAGUUGGGAGGAAGGGCAGUAAGUUAAUACCUUGCUGUUUUGACGUUACCGACAGAAUAAGCACCGGCUAACUCUGUGCCAGCAG